GCCGGAGUGGCGGAAUUGGUAGACGCGGCGGACUCAAAAUCCGUUAUUGGUGACAAUGUGUGGGUUCGAGUCCCUCCCCCGGCACCA
rnacentral:tRNA from 1 species